UGGGGGAUAUUGCACAAUGGGCGAAAGCCUGAUGCAGCGACGCCGCGUGGGGGAUGAAGGCUUUCGGGUUGUAAACCUCUUUCGCUAUCGAACAAGGCCCGCUUAGGGUGGGUUGAGGGUAGGUGGAGAAGAAGCGCCGGCUAACUACGUGCCAGCAGCCGCGGUAAUACGUAGGGCGCGAGCGUUGUCCGGAAUUAUUGGGCGUAAAGGGCUUGUAGGCGGCUUGGUGCGCCUGCUGUGAAAACGCGGGGCUUAACUUCGCGCGUGCAGUGGGUACGGGCAGGCUUGAGUGUGGUAGGGGUGACUGGAAUUCCAGGUGUAGCGGUGGAAUGCGCAGAUAUCUGGAGGAACACCGAUGGCGAAGGCAGGUCACUGGGCCAUUACUGACGCUGAGGAGCGAAAGCAUGGGUAGCGAACAGG
rnacentral:rRNA from 1 species